rnacentral:rRNA from 1 species
CGGGAGGCAGCAGUAGGGAUUUUCGGCAAUGGGGGCAACCCUGUCCGAGCAACGCCGCGUGAGUGAAGAAGGUUUUCGGAUCGUAAAGCUCUGUUGUAAGUCAAGAACGAGUGUGAGAGUGGAAAGUUCACACUGUGACGGUAGCUUACCAGAAAGGGACGGCUAACUACGUGCCAGCAGCCGCGGUAAUACGUAGGUCCCGAGCGUUGUCCGGAUUUAUUGGGCGUAAAGCGAGCGCAGGCGGUUUGAUAAGUCUGAAGUUAAAGGCUGUGGCUCAACCAUAGUUCGCUUUGGAAACUGUCAAACUUGAGUGCAGAAGGGGAGAGUGGAAUUCCAUGUGUAGCGGUGAAAUGCGUAGGUAUAUGGAGGAACACCGGUGGCGAAAGCGGCUCUCUGGUCUGUAACUGACGCUGAGGCUCGAAAGCGUGGGGAGCGAACAGGAUUAGAUACCCUGGUAGUCCACGCCGUAAACGAUGAGUUCUAGGUGUUGGAUCCUUUCCCGGGAUUUCAGUGCCGCAGCUAACGCCAUUAAGCACUCCGCGUGGGGAGUACGACCGCAAGGUUGAAACUCAAAGGAAUUGACGGGGGCCCGCACAAGCGGUGGAGCAUGUGGUUUAAUUCGAAGCAACGCGAAGAACCUUACCAGGUCUUGACAUCCCGAUGGUAUUUCUAGGGAUAGAAAGUUACUUCGGUACAUCGGUGACAGGUGGUGCAUGGUUGUCGUCAGCUCGUGUCGUGAGAUGUUGGGUUAAGACCCGCAACGAGCGCAACCCCUAUUGUUAGUUGCCAUCAUUCAGUUGGGCACUCUAGCGAGACUGCCGGUAAUAAACCGGAGGAAGGUGGGGAUGACGUCAAAUCAUCACGCCCCUUAUGACCUGGGCUACACACGUGCUACAAUGGUUGGUACAACGAGUUGCGAGUCGGUGACGGCAAGCUAAUCUCUUAAAGCCAAUCUCAGUUCGGAUUGUAGGCUGCAACUCGCCUACAUAAAGUCGGAAUCGCUAGUAAUCGCGGAUCAGCACGCCGCGGUGAAUACGUUCCCGGGCCUUGUACACACCGCCCGU